CCCCUUGUAUCAGCUCAACCACAUGCGAACAGUGCAGGUUUAUGACAGUAACCAAAUGAGACUUACACCCUAACCCUGAGCCACAGUCCUUCAUUCCUCUGCUCUAAAUCCUUUAAUCCUCACUGGAGGUACAUCCUGUUGAACGCUGCUCCCGGGUCGUCCUGCAGAGGACCACUGCCACAGAACCCAUGAGCACAAAAAACAGCAGCUGUCUGUCAACACCAGAACCAAACCACAUCCACUGGGACGAGGUCAAAGGUCACGGAGAGACUUGGGCUUGUGUGCGAAAAAAAGAAGAAGACAUAGGCCAGCUGAAGACACAGAGGGGGAAAUGACAUGCAGCAACAGGGUGGAGGUUGGAGUCAAAUUCGCGGCCUCUGCAUCGAGGAGUAGCCCUCUGUAUAUGGGCAUGCGCUCGACCAGGUG